AAGAUGUCAAUGUUAUGGAGAGGUUAAUAAGUAUAAAAAGAUGCUUUCUCUGCCCCUUUGGGUAAGGGACGGGCAUCCUUUUUCUCAUUUAGAGGAACGAGUUUUCCUCUUCUAAUUUUAGGUGGGAUUUGGUUGCAUGCAGGUGGACUUACUGAUUUCUCUAAUAAUGGAUGUUUGCAUGCUUCAGAGGAGAGGUGAUGUUUCUGUCCAAACAACCACUUUUUUUCUUCUAAGCUCUUCUCUAUCAUUUUUUUGAGUUUCGGAUGGUUGUUUAUCGGUUAUUAGCAAUGGAGAUCUUUGAGUUAAUCGUGUUUGAGUUAAUCGUUCUUUCAUACCUCAGUAUGUCUAUAUUCUAUAAAUUACUUAGAAAGGAUCUUUAUUCAUGGUUGUGACACUAGAUAUCUCAAAGGCUUAUAGUUAUUUUUUUUUUCUGUGGAUCGGUUGUCCUCAAGGUGCGAAAAAAGUCGUUGGUGAGUUCUAAUUCAAUGUCACCUCCCUUACUUGGAUGAUGCUCUGUGUUCAUGGUUGGAUGCUUUUCGUUUGAACUACAGGAGGCUCUCCUCUGCUUUCCUGACAGUUCGAUAGUCCUUUUUUAUUUUUGCUUGUUGAAAUUGUCGGUCACUUUUGGCGGUGAGUGCUUCUCAACUUUUCUUAAGUGACGGCGAAGUCAAAAUAAGCAGCUUGGUACUAGAGUUUUUGCUCUUACCCUUAGGACUUUGGGUUUGUAAGUUUGAGUCUUAUUUUUUUUUAUUUAGAAUUGACUUUAAGUAGUUUUAUUUUUCAGUUUUGAUUUGUAUUAUGGUAGGCCUUAAAACACUUCAUCAACUGACAAAAUUACUUUUGAUAAAAGAAAAAGAAAAUAAAAAAAAUUCAAAUUACAUUUUCUUUUUUAAAUUUGUAAUACUAUAUUUGAGGUUUUUGAAAAAGAGAUUUAAAUUUGAAAUUUGAUAAUUAUAAUUUAGAUAAACUGUAAUUUAGUCUCUCUUAUUUAAUAAAAUAUCUAUUUUAGUAUAUUUAUUUUUAAAAAUUCACAUUUUUAUCUUUUACAUUAAAAAAAUUAUAAAUUAAUCCCUACCAUUAGAAUUAGAAUUAACUUACCAUUAAUUUUUAUAAAAGGACCAGAAUGCCCUUUAUAUAAAAAAAUUUAUCCAAACACUAUUUUCCACUUCAAAAAUUGUGAAUCUCACUAUCUCUCCUUCCCGAUUUCUUUUUCUUCUUCUCUUCCUCCUUCAGUGGACCCAAAUACUUUAAAAACCUAUAUACU
rnacentral:lncRNA from 1 species